CCCUUAGAUGUUCUGGGCCGCACGCGUGCUACACUGAGUGGAUCAGCGGGUCAGGUUGCGCGAAAGUGUUUCCUAAUCUUGAAAUCCGCUCGUGAUGGGGAUUGACGGUUGCAAUUUUCCGUCAUGAACGAGGAAUACCUUGUAAGCGCGGGUCAUCAUCCCGCGCUGAAUACGUCCCUGCCCUUUGUACACACCGCCCGUCGCUCCUACCGAUUGAGUGGUCCGGUGAAUGAUUCGGACCAGCGCGCUGCUCAGAUCCUGCGCAGCGUGCUGGGAAGUCUAGUGAACCUUAUCACUUAGAGGAAGGAGAAGUCGUAACA
rnacentral:rRNA from 1 species